UGACUCUGGUUUCUCUUCAUUACGCACAAGCCUUCGCCUUUUACUAAAGACUUCCGUGGAGGAGGAACACUUACGAGCUCAACGUAUUUUUGGAGUGGCUUGCUUCUUGCAGAGCCC
rnacentral:snRNA from 1 species